rnacentral:rRNA from 1 species
GAUGAACGCUAGCUACAGGCUUAACACAUGCAAGUCGAGGGGAAACGACAUCGAAAGCUUGCUUUGAUAGGCGUCGACCGGCGCACGGGUGAGUAACGCGUAUCCAACCUGCCCACCACUUGGGGAUAACCUUGCGAAAGUAAGACUAAUACCCAAUGAUAUCCCACGAAGGCAUCCGAAUGGGAUUAAAGAUUUAUCGGUGAUGGAUGGGGAUGCGUCUGAUUAGCUUGUUGGCGGGUAACGGCCCACCAAGGCGACGAUCAGUAGGGGUUCUGAGAGGAAGGUCCCCCACAUUGGAACUGAGACACAGUCCAAACUCCUACGGGAGGCAGCAGGUCGAGGAAUAUUGGUCAAUGGGCGAGAGCCUGAACCAGCCAAGUAGCGUG